CAACCUGGUUGAUCCUGCCAGUGGUAUAUGCUUGUCUCAAGGACUAAGCCAUGCAAGUGCCAGUAUGAGUGAAUAACGUAUAACGAAACUGCGAAUGGCUCGGUAAAACAGCAAUAGUUUCUUCGGGGGUAAUACUACUUGGAUAACCGUAGUAAUUCUAGAGCUAAUACGCGUGCCUUAAAGCAAUGUUUUCAUAUGAAGAUGUUGUGGUACAAAGAUUAGAUACAAGCCAAAUUUAUUUGGUGAUUCAAACUUUUUUUCUGAUCGCACUUUUUGUGCGACUCCCCGAUCAAAUUUCUGACCUAUCAACUAUGAUGGUAAGGUGUAGUCUUACCAUGGUUGUGACGGGUAACGGACCGUGGGUGCGGGAUUCCGGAGAGGGAGCCUGAGAAACGGCUACCACAUCCAAGGAAGGCAGCAGGCGCGUAACUUACCCAAUCCGGACACCGGGAGGUAGUGACAAUAAAUAUUAAUAGGGGGCCCGAUGGGCUUCCUAAUUGGAAUGAGAACAAUGUAAACGGCUUAUCGAGGAGCCAGCAGAGGGCAAGUCUGGUGCCAGCAGCCGCGGUAAUUCCAGCUCUGUAAGCGUAUACCAAAGUUGUUGCAGUUAAAACGCUCGUAGUCGAAAUUUGGCAUCCUUCGUGGGACGUCCGUGAGGGCGGAUUCGCGUCGGUUGCCUUUGUGGAAGGCGGUUUGGCGGUACUUUGUUGUAUCGUCAUUGUUGCAGCCACCUUUUACUGUGAAAAAAUUAGAGUGUUCAAAGCAAGCGUUUGCCCUGAAUAUAUUAGCAUGGAAUAAUAGAAUAGGACCUGGUCUUAUUUUUUUGGUUUGUGAAUAUCAGGUAAUGAUUAAGAGGGACGGUUGGGGGCAUUUGUAUUCCAGCGCUAGAGGUGAAAUUCUUGGAUUGCUGGAAGACAAACAGCUGCGAAAGCGUCUGCCAAGGACGUUUUCAUUGAUCAAGAACGAAAGUAAGGGGAUCGAAGACGAUCAGAUACCGUCGUAGUCUUUACUAUAAACGAUGAUGACUGGGGAUCGGACAUGGCAAUUUGGUAUGUUCGGCACCCUCCGGGAAACCAAAGUAUUUGAUUUCUGGGGGGAGUAUGGUCGCAAGGCUGAAACUUAAAGGAAUUGACGGAAGGGCAUCACUGGGUGUGGAGCCUGCGGCUUAAUUUGACUCAACACGGGAAAACUUACCAGGUUAGGACAUUAUAAGGAUUGACAGAUUGAGAGCUCUUUCUUGAUUCAAUGGUUGGUGGUGCAUGGCCGUUCUUAGUUGGUGGAGUGAUCUGUCUGGUUAAUUCCGUUAACGAGCGAGACCUGGGCGUGCUAGCUAGGCGCUAUUACCUUUUUGGUAGUAAGGCGGCCUUCCUAGACGGACUGCAGGCGUCUAGUCUGUGGAAGCUCCAGGCAAUAACAGGUCUGAGAUGCCCUUAGAUGUUCUGGGCCGCACGCGUGCUACAAUGAGUGGAUCAACGGGUGAGGUAGUGCGAAAGCAUGACCCAAUCUCAAAAUCCGCUCGUGCUGGGGAUAGAAGCUUGCAAUUUCCCUUCUUGAACGAGGAAUACCUUGUAAGCGUGGGUCAUCAUCCCGCGCUGAAUACGUCCCUGCCCUUUGUACACACCGCCCGUCGCUCCUACCGAUUGAGUGGUCCGGUGAGGCCUUGGGAGAGUUGGUAGGACUGUGUUUCACGGACCCUCUGGCUCAAACUUGGUCAAACCUUAUCACUUAGAGGAAGGAGAAGUCGUAACAAGGUUUCCGUAGGUGAACCUGCAGAGGAUCAAGCU
rnacentral:rRNA from 1 species